rnacentral:lncRNA from 1 species
UUUGCCAUCAGUGACAGUUGAAGGAGAGCGGGGUGGGAGGUGGUGUUUUCAACCCCCUUUCUCCCUCUCUCCCGUCCUCCCUCGGUCUCUCCUCUUUCUUUCUGCACUUUGUCCAAUGAAAGAAGGCGAGUUCGGGAGGUGAAAGUUCAGCAGAAGGACAAACCCCUGUUUGCAAGGAAACAGAAACCCCGCCAGCCAGCGAGGGGUUUUCUCCCCUGUUUCUCGGAAUCAGGAGAGUGUGAAUGUGGGACGAGCUUCUGCCCCCUUGUCAGAGCCACUGCAGGAAUGUGCAAUCGAGUCCACUUUGGGGGAAGGUGGCUGCAUCAGGAACUGUGUUCUUGCCACGACUCCUCUUAGGAAAACGCCUGGGGGCUAGCAUGUCAGUCCGUUGUUUAACACAAAUUACCUGCUCUCCCAGUGAUCAGUCACGUGCAAAAAGCUUUGUCCAAUUCUUUGAAAAGGUGAGAUUUUUUUUUUUCUUUUUGCGGUUUUUGAAGUUUGGUUGAAUUUAGAAAUUCGAAGGAAUAAACUAAGAGCCUGAAUUAAAUGUUUUGAAAUAUACAUACAUAAAACAAAAGACACUAGUAUUUCUUUCACUUUUAUCAAUACGCAUAGAGAAGGAAGCAGAGUAUGUGUUUCCAAAACGUGACUUGGAAAGCUGUAAGACCUCUAUGUCUUGUUGUUGUUGUUGUUGUUGUUGUUAACAGAAGUAAAUUUUUUCAGACCCACCACCACAGAAGUGGCCAGACUCCCAAACCAGCAUUUCCAGCUACUGGCUGGCUGGUGUACACCAGGCCAAUUCUUUAUGAGAAUAUAUUAAAAGUCACCCCUGUGGAUUCCUACAAAGUACUUCCCCUUGCGGGGAGGGGAGAGGCUUACUGUCCCUUUGGUCUUGAGACCAGCACAGUUGUAGAUAAUAUCCUGAAAAGGUUAUUAUUAAAUUCUUUCGCGUAAUGCCCCUUUACAAAUAUUGUUAAACAUUAAUUUACAGAAGAACUUAAAUCUUAAUUUCAAGGGUGGCAUAAGACUAUCGCUUUGAAAUUGUAUCUUUCGCAAGUUAAAAAAAAAAAAUAACAAAGCCAUUCGCUGAUGCUACAGAAUAAAAGAAAGGGAGGCUGCUAAGGUAAUUUCAGCCUGGUAGAAUUCACAUUGCAUGCAUGCUGCAUAAAGUUCCAUGCUAUCCAGAUAAGACUAUUCACUGAAUCUUUUAGACUAGAAUCUAGACCAAUAAAAUGCAUUUUAGUUUGUAUGGAAUGUCCUAGCUUCCUAGAGGCUAGGGUUCGACGUCUUGUUUGUCAAGACAUAAAGGGAUUAAUGACAUACCCACUGUGUGCUAGACCACAGAGUGGGCACAGAGGGAUGAAAAAAUAAAAAUUCCUGCCCUUGAGGAGCUCACAGUCUAAGCUGUCAAUAAUAACAUCUAACAUUUAUUAAAUACUAUGAUCUAGGCACUGAACUAAAAGCUUUAUGUCAACUCAGUUAAUACUGCCAACAACUCUUUGACAUCACUGGAAAUUCCAUAUGCUGAAUUCACACGGAAUUAAGUGGAAAUCUACAAAGUAGCCAGUCUACUGGUUCUGUAGUGGUCAACCUAUUAAAAAUGGUUUUUAAUUUCUAAAGUACUUUAUGCCAAAUAUAACAUGUUUAUGGUAUAUGCCUGACUGUAGAAUUAUAACUCAGGGGAAUAACGACUUAUUUAAAUGUAACAGAUCUAUUCAUAGUCUGUAAAGAACAAUUCAUCCUCUGAUCUUGUUUUUCA